rnacentral:hammerhead_ribozyme from 1 species
AUUCAGCUGACGAGUCCCAAAUAGAACGAAACGCGCUCCAUAGAU